UAAGGCGUAGGAGCCUCGGGGAGGGUGAGCCAAGAGGGACGUGGCGCUCUGCGGCGCGGACUAGGAAGCCGCGCCCCUUCCUUCUCGGGCUUUCAUGGAGAAUCCUGUGGAGCAGGAUUUGGGUGAAAAGCUCAAAAUGAGUUUACUGGAGGCCAGGAGAAAAUGAAAGGGAAACAAUUCCAGAGAACCAGCUGAUGUGAAGCCUACCCCCAUACUUUGGGUCCUCCAGGAAAAAAUAAAAACAAAAAGGUGUCAGGGGGAUUCUGGCUUUUCAAUACUUCUACUUUCCCC
ensembl:lncRNA